CUACGGUGGUCGGGCCGUGGUGUUCGGGAAGUCGAUGCAAGGUCGACGCGGCCCUCGCCACUGUGAUCGGGGAGUUCCCGUCCCGUCCGGCACCCGCCGGGCCACUGGUCGGUCGUACGACUGGGAAGGCAGGGACGGCGAACGCACCACCCCGUAAGCCAGGAGACCGGCCACGGCAGCUCACGAAGU
rnacentral:ncRNA from 1 species